rnacentral:tRNA from 1 species
GCCUGGGUGGCUCAGUCAUUAAGCAUCUGACUUUGGCUCAGGUCACGGUCAUGAUCCCACAGUUCGUGAGUUUGAAUCCCACAUCAGGUG